UUGGGUUAGUGGCGGACGGGUGAGUAACGCGUGGGUAACCUGCCUUACACAGGGGGAUAACCACUUAGAAAGUAGGUGCUAAAACCGCAUAAGCGCACAGCUUCGGCAUGAAGCGGUGUGAAAAACUCCGGUGGUGUAAGAUGGACCCGCGUCUGAUUAGCUUGUUGGCGGGGUAACGGCCCACCAAGGCGACGAUCAGUAGCCGGCCUGAGAGGGCGGACCGGCCACAUUGGGACUGAGACACGGCCCAGACUCCUACGGGAGGCAGCAG
rnacentral:rRNA from 1 species